GUUAGCCCCCAAAGAGGAGGAGACAAAAAAAAAAAAAAAAAAAGAAAAGGGUUACUUUGGAAAUCUUAGAAUAUCCUGAGUUGGGACGGACCCACGAGGAUCCCCCUCCUGGCCCUCCGCAGGACACCCCAAGAGUCACGCCCUGUGUCUGAGAGCGUUGUCCAAACGCUUCUUGAGCUCUGUCAGACCGCUGCCCUGGGGAGCCUGUUCCAGCGCCCAACCACCCUCAGGGGGAAGAACCUUUUCCUAAUAUCCAACCUAAACAUCCCCCGACUCAGCUUCUUGCCGUUUCCUCGGGUCCUGUCGGUGGUAACCAGAGCGAAGAGAUCAGUGGAGCCGGCUGCUCCACUUCCCCUUGUGAGGAUGUUGAAGACCGCAGUGAGGUUUCCCCUCAGACUCCUCCGGGCAGAACAUGCCAAGUGACCUCAACACCCUGCCUAGGAUUAGGUGACGUUGCUCUCAAAGAGUAAGAAAUAGUUAUGUGCAAGUUACGUCAUAUUCUGUACAGUGUCAAGUUGGUAUUCCCGGAUCUUUGAUAAAUAUCAGGUGGAUGUGAUUCAAAAUAAUGGAUGUAAGCCAACAUCAGGCUGAAACUGGCAUGUAAAGUUGGUAUGUAGUUGUACCUGAGCACCAGAACCUACCUGAUGUACUUGUCAAGGACUGUCAGUCUGUGACCUCUAGAGCUCUGCAGCCAGAGCCACUGCCACACAGGAGCUUUAAAACUGGCAUGAAGACCAGCACUUUAAUUGAAAUGCUUCAACGAGAGUACUAUCUUUCUCAGAUCUCGCCUAAAUUCUUGGUAUUUUCCUCUUAGUUCAAGUUCUUGUGAUAGCCCUUUCUUCCAGAGGAUGCUUGUAGAUGGGAAUAUAGCAAAAUGUGAGCUGCCACCUUGCAUCAGAGGCUCCUGGGAGGUUUUGCUGUUUGUAGAGUCCCAAACAGCUGGUGCCAUGCAGGGAGAGCAAGCUGAAGGGUCAAGAGGAUGUCAGGGUCACCUGGAAUGAUCUCAGCAUUUCCACAUGAGCAGUAGAGAGCUGCUAUUUCUAGUGUCAGACUUGCUUUCUGGUCCAACAGGCUUUGUGCAGAGAAUGGUGGACUUCACUGCUGGCAUCAGUGUAAGAAAGGAAGGUUUUCUUAGAAGCUGCCUGAUGUGUUACCCAAAGUCCCUUAAGAGGAGGAUGCUUCCUUGUCUCCAGUACUACAAAGCAGUUUCUGAUUUGAGGCAGAAGAUGGGAACUGGGAGGAAGGGCAAUUGACUGUGCUCAUGCCAACUGUUGGGGUGAUGCUGCAACACCCUGGCCUGGCCUGAUUGCUGGAAAAAUGACAGAUAAUUGAGGAAACUGAGAGAGCACCGACCUGCAUUUUGCAACAGAGCCCUUGUUACAGCAGUGCUGAACAUUGGCAGAUACUUCAGACUCUGCAGCCAGGAGAAAACAAGCAUCCUUCCUCCCCAGAAAGUGUGGGAGUGUGCCUGUUGCAGAAGUUGCUGUCACAUCAAGGAGAAAGACUCAUCUUCCAUGAGCUCCUAGUAUUGUGUGUACUUCCAGCACCAUGUUGAUGCAUAAUUAACGAGAUGCACAGCCUGUCAGCUCCUUGUGGCCUGCUCGACACCGCAGUGCAGAAACUGGGACACAAGUUAUGUCUUCCUACUGUAUCUCGGCCUUCUCCAGGCAGGUACCUUGACCUCCAGUGUGGAGACGGUCCAGCUGGCUCAAUUCAUGUAAAGCCCAGUGAGAAAGACACAAGGAGGCCCCAGAAUAACUCUGAAACAUGUUUUUGGGUGCCAUCCUACAAGGUGAAAGAAAUGGGCUGAGCUGCUUUUAGGAAGAAAAGAGGGAUGAAUCCAGCACAUCACACACCAUGGGCAAGGACUCGAACUAUGGCCCUUCAAGGAAGAAGGCCACUCGCAUCAUUAAGAGAUGUGCUCAAUUAAUCUCUCUCUGGACUAAAGGCCCAGCCAUGGGACAAGGCAGUAUUUACAAAAAGCACAGGAGACACACUAUACAAGGAGACGCUCCUGUCUAGCCUGGGCUCUGCAGUGCCUGCAGCAUCAUCAAAGGCAGUGAAACAGAACUGGAGGAACUGAAAGAGCCUUUCUCAGCUGGGGUGUGAGGUGUGUGGCACGGAUAAAACGGGGCCUGGGAGACACUGUGACAGCACUUGGGACUGAAGGCAGAGGUAAGUGCACGUUCCUAGGGAUGCCCGAGCCCUGGAAUGCACUAGACCUGUAAAUAUUGGUAUCUGCAGUUAAAAAUGAAAGCAAAGAGGUUUUAUCCUUCCUAUGUAUUCUCUGCUUGUUGCUUUGGAACAAGAGUGCACACUCUCAUGGCAUCUUUCAUAUGUUGCCACAUCUUGCUGGUCUUUGGGUUGUUACGUGGAUUAUUUGGAUAAAAAUCCAAAUGGGUUGGAUUUUUACUGCAGACCAUUGAAAAGGGGCCUCAAACGCUACAGACCAUAUGUGAGUUGCUUUCCUAAAUGCAGGACUAAACAGCCACGAGAUGAAAUAUCCCCAAGUAAAUGAGAUUAGUGACAUGGGAUACAGCUUUCAAAAAUAAUUACAUCUGACACCCUCAUCAGCAAGAAGAUGUAGGGGCUGCAAGCUCUAAGCUUGGGAACAGCGUAUGAAAGAUUGGCUUCUCCUGGGAAAGGAAGGCACAAGGGAGGUUAUUUUUAGUACUUUGGAGAAAAAAAAAAAAGAAUUUAAGCACUCUUUGGUUUGAUACCCUCGUUAUGGAGGAGAUCAUGGAGAAAGAAAGCAGAAGUGGGAAUGGAAAUGUUACUGAGGAUGAAAGCUGUGGAAGCAAAAGGUUGAUCCGAGCAGGGUGGGAGCGGCGGGGACAAGAUGGGACGGGGGCGUGGUGGGGGCAGCGGGGGGGGGCAGUGCAGCCCCCUCCGUCCCGUCCCCGGUUGCGCCCGUCGGUACAACAACAACCCACCGACGGCGGAGCGGGCGGUUCCGUUUUCGCGACGGUAUAUAUAGAUCAGACACUUUCCAAAAAAAGCAGCGCCGCCGAGUCGCUCUGCUCGGCGGCUCUUUCCACCCGUAAUUCAGAAAACACAAAAUAUUUUUUUAAUAUUAUUUUUUUCUUUAAGAAAGGAGAAGCUGUAUUCCGUGAAUGCGGCUGUUUUCUGACUCGACACCGGCUUGCGGUUACGGGCUGCUCAGAAAGUGAGCGGGGUCCGGCGGGGCGGCCCCGGGACCUCCUCUGCUUUUCCGAGCGUUUUUAAAAUUUUCCGGAACGGGUUCCCUAAAAAGGGCAGGGGGGCGGGGCCGGAUCCUCGCCUUUUUAGGACAAGGGCCCCGCCACCGGAAUACCCCC